rnacentral:rRNA from 1 species
CCUACGAGUGGCAGCAGUGAGGAAUAUUGGUCAAUGGCCGUAAGGCUGAACCAGCCAAGUCGCGUGAAGGAAGAAGGAUCUAUGGUUUGUAAACUUCUUUUAUAGGGGAAUAAAGGUAUCCACGUGUGGAUAUUUGCAUGUACCCUAUGAAUAAGCAUCGGCUAACUCCGUGCCAGCAGCCGCGGUAAUACGGAGGAUGCGAGCGUUAUCCGGAUUUAUGGGGUUUAAAGGGUGCGUAGGUUGUUUUUUAAGUCAGCGGUGAAAGUUUGUGGCUCAACCAUAAAAUUGCCGUUGAAACUGGAAGACUUGAGUGUGUUUGAGGUAGGCGGAAUGCGUGGUGUAGCGGUGAAAUGCAUAGAUAUCACGCAGAACUCCGAUUGCGAAGGCAGCUUACUAAGCCAUAACUGACACUGAAGCACGAAAGCGUGGGGAUCAAACAGGAUUAGAUACCCUUGUAGUC